rnacentral:lncRNA from 1 species
GAAAGAUUAAACAGGGUUAAAGAUUAAACAAGAUUAAAAAAGUAAGUUGUCCUUGGCUUCAUUGUUCCUGUGUCUAUGUAGACCACCUGUUUUGGAAGAAGGUGAGGUUAUUAAUCAAACAGCUAACCAGUCACAGGCAUCUACUCAUUCACUUGCUAAGCUCCUUCCUCAUUCUCGUUUCCAAGAGUGCUUUCAAGGACACAAGAGAAGACCCUAUUUAGUGCUGUCAUUGUCUUGGUUGUGG